UACGUAGGGGCCGAGCGUUGUCCGGGGUUAUUGGGCGUAAAGCGCGCGCAGGCGGCUUCGCGCGCCCGACGUGAAAGCCCCCGGCUUAACCGGGGAGAGUCGUUGGGGACGGCGGAGCUUGAGGGCGGGAGAGGUCGGUGGAAUUCCCGGUGUAGUGGUGAAAUGCGUAGAGAUCGGGAGGACCACCUGUGGCGAAGCCGGCCGACUGGGCCGACCCUGACGCUGAGGCGCGAAGGCGUGGGGAGCGAACGGG
rnacentral:rRNA from 1 species